rnacentral:RNase_P_RNA from 1 species
GAGGAAAGUCUGGACUCCCUAAAGACAUAGAAUUGCUAGAUAAUAUCUAGUACAGAUAACUGUAAGGAAAGUGCUGCAGAAAAAUUACCACCAGAUUUAAUUUAAUUGGACUGGCAAGGGUGCAACGGUACAGUAAAAUCGUAUCAGUAAUAUAUUGCAAAAUAUAUACUCGGCAAACCCCAAUUGGGAGCAAAGGUGUAUUUUCAAUUAUGUCUUAUUCAAAUUGCUCUGUGCGGUGCGAAGUAGAUAGUUGAUAAAACUAAACUAAGUUAGCACUAAUUUUUUGGAGAAUAAUUAGUGAAGCAACUAAUUUGAGUUAACAGAUAUAAAAAGUUUUAGAUUAGAUUCAAUAUAUAUUUUUAAAAAUUCUUCCUCUAUAAAAAAGUAGAAUAUUUUAUUCGGAGCUAAUUAAAUAUUCUAAGAUAUAUACUAAGGGUUAUUUAGUAAAACUGAGUAUAUCUAUUUCUAACUAUCUAAACGCAACUCAAAUUGCUGAUAAACAGCUCAAUCGGGAUUGCUAAACUAAUUUAAUGGAAAAAAAUUUACCUUACUAAAUUAAUAAGCAAGAUAGAACUAUUUAUAAGAUCUAUUUGAGCCGUAUGCAAGGAAACUUGCACGUAUGGUUCUGAAAGAGGAUUUUUUCAAAUCAAUCUAACAAUAAAUUCACUGCAAAAAGCAUUUCUAUAAUGCUUUAGAUAAAUAAUUACCCUUUUUCAUCAAAAAUAGAUGUAAAAGAACAGAACCCAGCUUAU